rnacentral:rRNA from 1 species
UACGUAGGGUGCGAGCGUUGUCCGGAAUUAUUGGGCGUAAAGAGCUCGUAGGCGGUCUGUCGCGUCUGCUGUGAAAACCCGAGGCUCAACCUCGGGCCUGCAGUGGGUACGGGCAGACUAGAGUGCGGUAGGGGAGAAUGGAAUUCCUGGUGUAGCGGUGAAAUGCGCAGAUAUCGGGAGGAACACCUAUGGCGAAGGCAGCUCGCUGGGACGUUACUGACGCUGAGACGCGAAAGCGUGGGGAGCAAACAGG